rnacentral:rRNA from 13 species
UGGGUAGUUUGACUGGGGUGGUCGCCUCCAAAAGCGUAACGGAGGCUUUCAAAGGUACCCUCAGCAUGUUUGGUAAUCAUGCGAAGAGCGCAAUAGCAUAAGGGUGCUUGACUGUGAGGCCUACAAGCCGAUCAGGUAGGAAACUAGGAUAUAGUGAUCCGGCGGUUCUGUAUGGAAGGGCCGUCGCUCAAAGGAUAAAAGGUACUCCGGGGAUAACAGGCUGAUCUCCCCCAAGAGCUCACAUCGACGGGGAGGUUUGGCACCUCGAUGUCGGCUCAUC